rnacentral:ncRNA from 2 species
GUAGAAUCACAUAACUGGCGGAAGUGGAGUUUACCACAGGGAGUGUGAUUUAUACGAAAAAUGUCGACCGCCUGGGCAAACUGU